rnacentral:rRNA from 1 species
GUGCCAGCAGCCUCGGUAAUACGUGAGGUGGCAAGCGUUAUCCGGAAUUAUUGGGCGUAAAGCGCGCGUAGGCGGUUUUUUAAGUCUGAUGUGAAAGCCCACGGCUCAACCGUGGAGGGUCAUUGGAAACUGGAAAACUUGAGUGCAGAAGAGGAAAGUGGAAUUCCAUGUGUAGCGGUGAAAUGCGCAGAUGAUAUGGAGGAACACCAGUGGCGAAGGCGACUUUCUGGUCUGUAACUGACGCUGAUGUGCGAAAGCGUGGGGAUCAAACAGGAUUAGAUACC